GGCUGUCGAGCGAAAAGCUUGAUGGGAAAUUUGAUAACGUUAGCACCAGAAUUAAUAUGUUUGCAAGUCUUUGGGACAUCAGAACAUUUUGGAAGCUCAGUAUUUUGUCAUUUUUUUAAUGCAAUUAUGGCCUGUAGUCCAUGUUCAAAAAUGUCAUGGUCUGACAGAUAUGGAAGCUUGCUUCAGCCGCUGUGGAAGAAAAGAUAAAUAAAUUAAAACUUUUUG